rnacentral:sRNA from 1 species
UGAUAGGUAGUGAACAUGUAAGUCAAUGCCUCCAGCUGUAACAAUCAGCCCUUCACCUGAGAUAGCUUCUGUUGAAGCCCCAACGACAAAAUCAAUAUCAUCCAUGAUAUCAGGGUUGCCACCCUUGCCAAUAGCAAGAAUCUUGCCAUCCCUAAUACCAAUAUCAGCCUUAUAAAUACCUGUAUAAUCAAUGAUCAAUGCACCAGAGAUGAUUGUAUCAGCAACAAGCUUAUUGUCUUCUCUUGUCAUAGUGGCAUUAACGCCCAUGCCGUCUC